rnacentral:rRNA from 1 species
UACGUAGGUGGCGUGCGUUGUCCGGAUUUACUGGGCGUAAAGGGCGUGCAGGCGGUCUGUUAAGUCUAGGGUGAAAGCUCCCGGCUCAACUGGGAGAGGUCCUUGGAUACUGGCGGACUUGAGGGAGGCAGAGGAGAAUGGAAUUCCCGGUGUAGUGGUGAUAUGCGUAGAUAUCGGGAGGAACACCAGUGGCGAAGGCGGUUCUCUGGGCCUUACCUGACGCUGAGACGCGAAAGCGUGGGGAGCGAACCGG